CCUACGGGAGGCAGCAGUAGGGAAUAUUGCUCAAUGGGGGAAACCCUGAAGCAGCAACGCCGCGUGGAGGAUGAAGGUUUUCGGAUUGUAAACUCCUUUUGUUAGAGAAGAAAAUGACGGUAUCUAACGAAUAAGCACCGGCUAACUCCGUGCCAGCAGCCGCGGUAAUACGGAGGGGGCAGGCGUUACUCGGAAUCACUGGGCGUAAAGGGCGCGUAGGCGGGAUAGCAAGUCAGAUGUGAAAUCCUAUGGCUUAACCAUAGAACUGCAGUUGAAACUGUUAUUCUAGAGUAUGGGAGAGGUAGGUGGAAUUCGUGGUGUAGGGGUAAAAUCCGUAGAGAUCAAGAGGAAUACUCAUUGCGAAGGCAGCCUGCUAGAACAUAACUGACGCUGAUGCGCGAAAGCGUGGGGAGCAAACAGGAUUAGAUACCCGAGUAGUC
rnacentral:rRNA from 1 species